rnacentral:lncRNA from 1 species
CCCAUUCAAACUCUACAUUAUGAAGCAAGAUGAUCAUAAUAUGUGAUUUUUAGCUUGUAUAUAUCAGUUUGUGGUGCAUCGGAAACUGUAUUUUUUACACAAAAAGAGUACAAACUAGAGCACAUUUCACGGAAUCUAGAUGACUAUGUUGAAUUUGGCACCAUAAAGGUGGAGGUCUAAGAAAAAAUCAUAGUUGAGGGGGGUAGAUGUAAUUAUCCAAACAAGAGGGGGGUUUUUAUAAUUUAACCAUACCUCAGGGGGGUAUUUGUAAUUUACCCUAUUUUCUAUUUUUCUGUAUGAACUCUUUUGUUGAAGGGCAUACAAGAAAUUUCAAUUAUACUACUACUUUAUUGUUUGUCGUCUAAUAAUUGCAAGUUCAACUCAAAUUAUUAAUCUUGUAUUAAUUUAUGGAUGGCCAUGGGGCGGGUUUGGGGCGGGUUUUGCAUUCCCCGCACCCGUCCGGUUAACAAACCCGUUCAACCCGCACCCGCCCCGCUUCGCAGCGGGUACAAAUUUUCUCAAACCGCACCCGCCCCAUAGAAAAUCUGCGGAUACCCGCCCCGCCAAAAAACCCGUAAAUGUGAAGAAAAAAGUAAAAAUAAAAAAUUUAAAUAACCCAAAAUGAAAGCAAUAAUUCUAAAUCAAAAUAUCAAAUGUAUUAUAAAAUUUUAUAUAUAUAUAUCAGUGUUCUAAAAAUCGGCCGAGGCGGCCGAUUAAUCGGUCGCCGAGGCGGAGGCGGUCCAAAACCUUUACGAUUUUAGUGUAAAGGUUUGAAAAAUCGGUUUUUUGCCUGUGAGGCGGUUUGAGGCGGUCUGAGGCGGUGCGAGGCGGUCAAACCUUUAAGGCGGGUCAAACUUCGGUGGCAAAAAUCGGCAAAAAAUUGGUCAAAAAUCGGUUUUUUUUUUUUUUUUAUAAAUCAAAAUAAAAGUUGGGAUUUUAAUAAAAAAAAAAAGGAGUUUAUGCUUUAUUUUGUUUAUGUUAAUUAUUAUUGUUAAAGAACUAAUGAUGUAUGCCAAGAAUGUAUAUAAAUUAAAAAAAAAUUGCCUUUUUAUUUAUAUUUUAUAAGGAUAUUUAUGUAUUAUGAUCUUAUUAUUAUUAAACUUUUAUUAUGUUAUUAGAAUAUAUACAUGAUGGAGAUGUAACUAUGUUUAAAUAUUUUUUAUCUACGUUUUGAGUAUUUAUAAAUAAUAUCUACAAAUAUAUUAUAUUAAAUUUUAAAAACCGAUUUAUUUCCGAUAUAUCACCGAUUAAUCACCGCCGCACCGAUUAAUCGUGAAUCGGUGCCUGACCGACUCGGACCCGAUUACCAUUUUUUACAACCUUGAUAUAUAUAUAUAUAUAUAUAUAUAUAUAUAUAUAUAUAUAUAUAUAUAUAUAUAUAUAUAUAUAUAUAUAUAUGCGGGCGGGUACGGGGCGGGUAUAUACAAACCCGCACCCGCCCCGAACCCGUUUUCGGGUGAAAAAUUAGAACCCGUACCCGCCCCAUUUAUUUGCGGUGUGUCUGUAUAUAGGGAGAAAAAAGAUAUAUAUAUAAUUAAUAUAUAUAUAUAUAUAUAUAUNNNNNNNNNNNNNNNNNNNNNNNNNNNNNNNNNNNNNNNNNNNNNNNNNNNNNNNNNNNNNNNNNNNNNNNNNNNNNNNNNNNNNNNNNNNNNNNNNNNNUACUUCAUUUAUGGUUUCUUUUAUAUUUGAUUAAUUGAAUUACUGAACAUUAUUUGAUGAUACUUUUAGGUAGAUUUAUUUUGUAUAAAAUUAAAGGCCUAGAUAUUAUAUCCAUUUUAACUUUAUUAAUAUUUUUUUGGGUUACUUUCACUCGUUAGAUAGUGUAAUUACAGACUCCUCCCCUCUUAGUCAACAAAUUGCAUAUACCUCCCCUCUUAGAUAGUUUCGCUAAUAAUGACUAACAAAGCAUGUGAAAUGUCAUUUUUACCCUCACUUUUUACAAUUAGAAAUAAAAUUAAUUUGGCCAAAAAUAGAGGAAAAUAGACAAAUUGGGAUUACUUAUUGGAAAUAUUGAGAAAUUAGAAUUGACACCCCCUCUAACAACUAUGAUGAAUUGUAAAGGUGUUCCGGUUCGUAAAAAGUUCGAAUAGUCAAUUUUAGUCAAAAAGGUAAAAUAGAAAGUUCAUGUCAAUUUUUUUAUGACGUCAUCAGUUUCCAUCCAAAAAAUGGAUGGAUGACCAACGGAGUAAGUAGAAACAUCUAAUAGGGGAGGUAUGGACAAUUUGGUUUACUAGGAUAGGGUGAGUCUGCAAAUUCACUAUCUAAGGGGGGUCCAAACGAAGUUAACCCUUGAUUUUUUUUUUCUUGUCAAGCACACACAUGGACUAUGCCCAUAAUAACCAGUGUUCUAAAAAUCAAUUGAGACGGCCGAUUAAUCGGUCUUCAAGGUGGAGGCGGUCUAAAAGCUUUACGAUUUUAAUUUGGUGUAAAUGUGUGAUGAUUUAUGUUUUGUUUUAUUUUACUUAUGUUAAUUUUAGUUUUAAAGAAUCUAAUAAUAUAUGAUCGUAGUUUUGAAGUAUAAUUUUGAAUGCACAAAAUUUUUAUUUUAUUUUUAUUUUGUAAGAAUUUUAAUCAUAUUACAAUCUUAUUAUUAUUAAAAUUUUAUUAUGUGUUAUGAUAUGUAAAUGAUGUUAAUAAAAUUAUGUUUGAAUAUAUUAUUAUAUAUGUUUUGAGUAUUUAUAAUUAAUAACUAAAAUUAUAUUAUAUUAAAUUUAAAAAACCGAUUUAUUUCUGAUCUUCGGUGCCUAACCGCCUCGGACCGAAUUCCCACCUUUUACAAUCUUGAUAAUAACAAUACUUAAAUUUCACAUUGCUAAUUCACAAACACAAAAAUACAAUACAUAAUUGGAGGCACACUACAAGAGGAUGUCUCCUUUAUUAUCUUUCUUGCACAAUAAUUAACAACUUUAAUUUAAUUAAUAUGAAAACCCACACGUGAGGAAUCUUAGAGUACAUUCCCAAAUAUAUCUUGUAAUAAUAAUAAUUGCUGUAAUAAUUAAGUAGAAACCCCACCACACAACUUUGUUCUUCAAUUAUUACAGCUCCAACACCAAAUCUACAAGGUCAAACAAAGCCAAUAAUAAUAAUAAUAAUAAUUCAUGCUGGUCAGUAAUUUAAAUAAAAAAAAAAAAUUAUGCAUGUAAAUAUUGAAAGAAAAUCACGGCUUAAUCCCAAUUUGCAUCCUCGAAAUAAAUUAAUAGCACUUUGCACCUUCGAAACACAAUAUAUGAUGCAUAAUGCACCACCCCACAUGCGUUUUUAAGCUAAUAGAGAUUUUUAAUAUUUUUAGCGGUAUUUAAAAUUAUAUUUUUUAUUACAAAAAAAUAUUUUACGAAAAAAAAUUCCUUAAGCUAUUUCAUUAUCAAGUUAUCUAAAAAUCAUAUUUUCUUCCAAAUAUUUCUACAUACUAUUUCCACCAAUUACAAUAAAAGAUCUAUCAAUCGAAUAAUUUAGUGAUAAAAGUUUAUUUAAUUUUAUUUUGCAAGAAAAUAUAGUUUUUUUUCUUUUUUUAUUAUCCGGUGUAAAUUUUUUUUUUUCGCACUUUGUGCGCUCGAAAUUAGGUUAGAGGUUGAAAAAAAAAGUAACUAUUUAAUUUGUUAUUUGGCACCCUGAAAAAAAAAAAAACCCAAUAAAAAACGAAUUAUCCUUUAUUAUUCAAUUAAGGUUGCAUUGUGAAUAAGGGUGCAAAGUGUUAUUAUUAUUUUUCAAAGGUGCAAAGUGCCAAAAGGCUCCAUUUCAAGGGCGCAAAGUGGGAUUAAGCCGAAAAUCAUAAUUAAGCAUGCAACCGAGUUAUAAUUAAAUGACUCACAGUCGGAAUCGGUGUUGACCCAGAACUCGUUGGCGUUUUUGUUGAUGAUGGGAUGUUGAUCAGGGUAUAUUAUGAUAUCUUCAGCAGAGGAACUACGUCGUAUUGUGCCUCCACUGUAGUUAUUAUUACAACCCACCAGUGGUACUGACUCACUGUUCUUCAUCAUCUCAUCAUCAUUAAUAUUCUUCUUCUCCUUUUUAUUACAAGCUGAUUCCUCUGCCGUGUAGUUCUCUGGAUGCACUUUCCUGUUGAAUAUUUGCAGAAUCUGCAUUUUCCCACAAUUAUAAUUACAAUAAUAAUAAUAAUACUCAAAAUAAUAAUAAUUAAUAAUACUAAUACUAAUACUAAUAAGGGUAAAUUACAAACACCCCCCUGAGGUAUGGUCGAAUUACAAAAACACCCCUCUUGUUUGGAUAAUUACACCCACCCCCUCAACUCCUCAAAUUUAGUGGAAUCUUCGAGAUUAUAUGGAAUAUUAUCACUUUUGUACCCAUUUUAUCCCAUUCAAACUCUACAUUAUGAAGCAAGAUGAUCAUAAUAUGUGAUUUUUAGCUUGUAUAUAUCAGUUUGCUGUGCAUCGAAAACUGUAUUUUUUACACAAAACGAGUACAAACUAGAGCACGUUUCACGGAAUCUAGAUGACUAUGUAGAAUUUGGCACCAUAAAGGUGGAGGUCUAAGAAAAAAUCAUAGUUGAGGGGGUAGAUGUAAUUAUCCAAACAAGAGGGGGGUUUUUGUAAUUUGACCAUACCUCAGGG